UGCGGUUGCUUUAGAAUGAGACAAAAGUAUGAAAAGGGAAUCCGGUGAAAGACCGGAGCAGUCACCUCUACUGUAACGUGGACGACAAAACAAAUGCCAUUGACAAUUCGUUGAGAAGGAGUUUUGAAGGAUGAAGCGAAGCCAGGAGACCUGCCGUAUAUAGA
rnacentral:ncRNA from 1 species